rnacentral:misc_RNA from 1 species
GUGAAUCAUCGAAUUUUUGAACGCAAAUUGCGCCUCCUGGCAUCCCUGUAAGUAUUCCUGUGUGAGGGUCAGUAUUAACGAAAAAGCUGUUGGUUUGCAAAUUGUGACGUUUCCGGAGUUGGGGCUAUCUUAACUUUUUUGGUUAAGGGGCUUAAAAUUGACCUUUUUUGCGCAUUUUUAGACGUACAUAAAUUUUUUUUUUAUUCUUCUAUUCUUAAUUCCAAAAUCCUAUUAGAUGUGAUCAC